UCUUUUAAAGCAAGAAAAGAAAUAUUCUAUUAAUAUCGAAGUAGUUGGAAUGGCACUGAAAAUUAAUGUUACAUAAUAGAAAAUAUUGGCUCACUAAGUACAUAUUUAAGAGACUGCAGGACAGAUUGUUACCUAAUUGCUCUUUUCCUUUGGUUCUGGUGAGCAAAACCUUUUUGUGUCAUUAGCUUCACAGUAUUUCAACAGAUGAAAUAACUUGUGCCUUUUAAAAGUUGAUAAUGUAGAAUUACUACCAUCUCCAUUUACUUCCUCGUAUUAUUUUGUUUCCUGUAUAAUCUCUUGGGAUCCAAUUUAUUUAUCUCAAGCCAGAAAACAUGCUCCUCCUCCUUCACAUUCCCAUUCCAUCACAAGUCUGUACAAAUUACAGUUUCAGCAUAAGAGAAAGCAAGGAAGAAAUUUCCAAAGAAUAAUGUGGAAUCUGACAAAGUAAGGUGAACUGUUUGCUAUUUUGGAAAAAGAUCAACUUGGGGGAAAGUCUGUUAUAUUCUAUUGAGAUGAAGUGAAUCUGAUACUGUUACACAGAAAAAUUGCAAAAAGAUGCCCAAUUUUUCUUUUUCAACGGCUAGUAAUUUCCUUCGGUUUACUCCUGAGACCUUGGAUCAAAUUAAAAAGAGAAUUGCUGAGAAGGAAGCAAAGCAUGCCAAGGCCACAGAGGAGGGCAAUAGUCAAGAGCAAGAAGAAAAUAUUCGACCACAGCUUGAUCUGAAAGUUUUUAAAAAGCUACCUAUUCUAUAUGGAAAACCCCCUCCUUGGCUCAUUGGAGAACCACUGGAAGAUGUUGACCCCUAUUACAAAGAUCGUGAGACUUUUAUGGUGCUAUCAGCCAGGAACAGAAUCUUUCGGUUUUCUGCCGCCAAAGCCUUGUUUUUUUUCAGUCCUUUCCAUCCACUGAGAAGACUAGCUGUGAAAAUUUUGAUACACACAUAUCCUUCCAAUGUGUUUCCUUCAUUCUAAAUCUCUUAUACAGAAUCACAGAGAACUGUUAGUUAU